rnacentral:rRNA from 1 species
UGGUAGUGUAUUGGACUACCAUGGCUUUAACGGGUAACGGAGGAUUAGGGUUCGAUUCCGGAGAGGGAGCCUGAGAAACGGCUACCACAUCUAAGGAAGGCAGCAGGCGCGUAAAUUACCCAAUCCUGACUCAGGGAGGUAGUGACAAGAAAUAACGGACCGAAGCCUAUGUUUCGGGAUUGCAAUGAGUAGAAUUUACACCCCUUUACGAGGAUCAAUUGGAGGGCAAGUCUGGUGCCAGCAGCCGCGGUAAUUCCAGCUCCAAUAGCGUAUAUUAAAGUUGUUGCAGUUAAAAAGCUCGUAGUUGGAUUUCUGAGGGGAUGCCAAUGUCGGCUUGUUGCUUGUGCAGCGGCGUCCCCUCAUCCUGCAGUUAACGUUUCUGGGAUUUGUUUACUGGUCUCGGGCUCUGCUACUUUACCUUGAGAAAGUUAGAGUGUUCCAGGCAGGCUUGCGCCGGAAUACAUUAGCAUGGAAUAAUAGAAUAGGACUUUAGUCUCCUUUGUUGGUUUGAGGGACUGAAGUAAUGGUUAAUAGGGAUAGUUGGGGGCAUUAGUAUUUAAUUGUCAGAGGUGAAAUUCUCGGAUUUGUUAAAGACUAACUUAUGCGAAAGCAUUUGCCAAGGAUG